rnacentral:rRNA from 1 species
UCGGGAAUAUUGCGCAAUGGAGGAAACUCUGACGCAGUGACGCCGCGUAUAGGAUGAAGGUUUUCGGAUUGUAAACUAUUGUCAUUAGGGAAGAUAAAAGACAGUACCUAAGGAGGAAGCUCCGGCUAACUACGUGCCAGCAGCCGCGGUAAUACGUAGGGAGCAAGCGUUAUCCGGAUUUAUUGGGUGUAAAGGGUGCGUAGACGGGAAAUUAAGUUAGUUGUGAAAGCCCUCGGCUUAACUGAGGAAUUGCAACUAAAACUGGUUUUCUUGAGUGCAGGAGAGGUAAGUGGAAUUCCUAGUGUAGCGGUGAAAUGCGUAGAUAUUAGGAGGAACACCAGUGGCGAAGGCGACUUACUGGACUGUAACUGACGUUGAGGCACGAAAGUGUGGGGAGCAAACA